AGCCAUAUCACAUUGAAACACUGGUUCUCAUACGAUCACUGAAGUUAAGCAACAUUGAGCCUAGUCAGUACCUAGAUGGGUGAUUACUUGGGAAUACCAGGUGAUGU